rnacentral:rRNA from 1 species
AACGAACGCUGGCGGCGUGGAUAAGACAUGCAAGUCGAACGGAUUUUCUUGCGUAGCAAUACGUGAGGGAGUCAGUGGCGCAAGGGUGCGUAACACGUGGGCAACCUGCCCUGGAGUCUGGGAUAGCCCGCCGAAAGGCGGAUUAAUACCGGAUGUGGCUACCGAAUGAUUAUUCGGGACGCUAAAGGUGGCGCAAGCUGCCGCUCCUGGAUGGGCCCGCGGCCUAUCAGCUAGUUGGUUGGGUAACGGCCCACCAAGGACGUAUGACGGGUAGGCUGGUCUGAGAGGACGACCAGCCACACUGGAACUGAGACACGGUCCAGACACCUACGGGUGGCAGCAGUCGAG